CCUACGGGAGGCAGCAGUGGGGAAUAUUGGACAAUGGGCGAAAGCCUGAUCCAGCCAUGCCGCGUGUGUGAAGAAGGCCUUCGGGUUGUAAAGCACUUUCAGUGGGGAAGAAAGCCUUGGGGCUAAUACCCUCGAGGAAGGACAUCACCCACAGAAGAAGCACCGGCUAACUCCGUGCCAGCAGCCGCGGUAAUACGGAGGGUGCGAGCGUUAAUCGGAAUUACUGGGCGUAAAGCGCGCGUAGGCGGUCUGAUAAGCCGGUUGUGAAAGCCCCGGGCUCAACCUGGGAACGGCAUCCGGAACUGGCAGGCUAGAGUGCAGGAGAGGAAGGUAGAAUUCCCGGUGUAGCGGUGAAAUGCGUAGAGAUCGGGAGGAAUACCAGUGGCGAAGGCAGCCUUCUGGACUGACACUGACGCUGAGGUGCGAAAGCGUGGGUAGCAAACAGGAUUAGAUACCCCAGUAGUC
rnacentral:rRNA from 1 species